CUCCCCGUCGUAUCUGAAAAAUUCUAGAAUGUAACAGAUAUAUUAAUAAUGUGGCAUAAUAAAUUAAUCAAAUAUUUUUUUAAAAAAAUAUAUAUUUUAUUAUGAUUGUAAAAAAUUAUUUUUAUUAUAUAUUUAUUUGAAAAAAAAAAAUAUGAUUGACUUGUUAUUAAUGAUACGAUAUAAGUGUGAUAGUAUAGAAUUCCUCACCGUUUUGUCUUG
rnacentral:lncRNA from 1 species